CUCGGGUGUGGUGGCACGUACCUGUAGUCCCAGCUACUUGGGAGGCUGAGGCAGGAGGAUCGCCUGAACCUAAGAGUUCUCUAUGGCGAUCUGGUGUUCGUACUAAGUUGGUCAUCAAUAUGGUGACCUCCUGGAGCAGGGAACCACCAGGUUGCCUAAGGAGGGGUGAGCCAUCCCAGGUUGGAAACCGAGCAGGUCAAAGCUCAUGCACUGAUCAGAAAGUUAAAUUAUCUUUUCUUAACCUCAGUUUCCUCAUGUGGAAAAUGAAACCUACCUCU
rnacentral:SRP_RNA from 1 species